AACGAACGCUGGCGGCGUGUCUUAAGCAUGCAAGUCGAGCGGCAAGGAAGUGCUUGCACUUCCCUAGAGCGGCGGACUGGUGAGUAACGCGUGGGUGAUCUACCUCGGGGUUGGGGAUAGCCAUUAGAAAUAGUGGGUAAUACCGAAUACGCUUCCAGGGCUACGGCCGUGGAAGGAAAGGCGCUACGGCGCCGACCUGAGAUGAGCCCGCGUCCCAUUAGCUAGUUGGUGAGGUAACGGCCCACCAAGGCGAUGAUGGGUAGGCGGCCUGAGAGGGUGUACGCCCACAUUGGGACUGAGAUACGGCCCAAACUCCUACGGGAGGCAGCAGCUAAGAAUAUUCCGCAAUGGACGAAAGUCUGACGGAGCGACGCCGCGUGGAUGAUGAAGGCCGGAAGGUUGUAAAAUCCUUUUGUCGGGGAAGAAUAAGCGUGGGAGGGAAUGCCCGCGUGAUGACAUGAACCGGCGAAUAAGCCCCGGCUAACUACGUGCCAGCAGCCGCGGUAAA
rnacentral:rRNA from 1 species